rnacentral:rRNA from 1 species
AUGAGCCUUGCAAGCUUGAGCGGGAAGGAUCCAAAUCCUUCCAGCGCUCCGUCGGCGCUCCGAAGCAUAACGAGGUCCGUCGACAGAAACGGGCAUAAGUACGCGGAUGGCAAUGCUGGGUAUGAAAUGGUUCCUGCAAAGGAGCAGAAUCCUAAUUCAUCACGCAUUGCAACCCUCUCGAACAAGAUGGUGUCGUUCCCUAGCUUCAUCUCGGACAACGGGACCAUGACCAUAAGCACUCCGGUGAGGUUCGGCCCGUGGGGCGGCACCGGCGGCACCAUAUUCGACGACGGCAUAUUCACCGGCGUCCGGCAGAUCAACAUAACGCGGGGGCUGGGGAUAUCCUCCAUGAAGGUCCUCUACGACCGGAACGGGCAGGCGAUCUGGGGCGACAAGCGCGGCUCCAGCGGGGCGGCUAGACCGGAAAAGAUCAUAUUCGACUUCCCGACGGAGAUCCUGACCCACGUCACCGGGUACUUCGGGCCGACGAUGAUCAUGGGCCCGACGGCGAUCAAGUCCAUCACCUUCCACACCACGAAGAAGAGCCACGGGCCGUUCGGGGACGAGACCGGCACCUUCUUCUCCAGCUGCCUGACGGAAGGGAGGAUCGUGGGGUUCCACGGCAGGGGAGCGUGGUACGUCGACAGCAUCGGGGUUCAUGUCCUGGAAGGCAAGGUGCUGUCGGAGAAAUCCGCCGGCACGACCCCGUUGGGCGACAUGCUUGCACUGCCCAUGAGGGAGAUCGGGGACGAGGUUACCUACGGUGUGGUGAAAGAACCGAUACCGAUAGGGCCCGGGCCGUGGGGAGGGGAGGGGGGUAAGCCGUGGGACGACGGCGUCUACACGGGCAUCAAGCAGAUCUACGUGACCAGAGACGACUUCAUUGGGUCCAUACAGAUCGAGUAUGACCGGAGCGGGCAGUCCGUCUGGUCUACCAGGCAUGGCAACGGUGGUCAGAUCACACACAGGAUCAAGCUGGACUACCCGCACGAGGUGCUGAUCUGCAUAUACGGCUACUACAACACCUGCGUCGGGGAAGGGCCCAGGGUACUGAGGUCGAUCACCGUCGUCAGCAGCCGGGGCAAGUACGGGCCGUUCGGCGACGAGGUCGGGACCUACUUCACCUCCGCCACGACGCAGGGGAAGGUGGUCGGCUUCCACGGCCGGAGCGCCAUGUACCUGGACGCCAUCGGGGUGCACAUGCAGCACUGGCUGGGGGACAGGAACACCGCCACCGCCGCCAAACCUAAGGCCAGCUCCGUUCCCAAGAUCGUCGGCCCCAACCCCAAGACUGGCUCAGAUAACCCCAGGGCUGGUUCUACCACCAAGUACUACGUCUCCAAGUAUCUCUUUUGA